AUGGUGAAAGAAUAAACGAAAAAGGGUAUAUCCAUUUCUGGUAAAAUGAGUUGUGGAACAUUUGGGGGUUCAUCAGUAUUGGCUGUGCGGGAUUGCAGUGACUACGAUUGCAGAUGCCUUUGCAAUAUGCACUCUAUGAAGUUGAUGAUAACGGUAACAUGAGCCAGAUAGAGACGGAUGUAAACUCUGCUUUCAUCUUCAGUACAGAAGGGUAUGAAGGCACUGGACUAAUAAGCAGCUGUGCCAAUGGUGGAUCAAGUACUGUAAAGAUCUUGCUAAA